AGUGAACGCUGGCGGUAGGCCUAACACAUGCAAGUCGAACGGCAGCACAGUAAGAGCUUGCUCUUACGGGUGGCGAGUGGCGGACGGGUGAGGAAUACAUCGGAAUCUACUUUUUCGUGGGGGAUAACGUAGGGAAACUUACGCUAAUACCGCAUACGACCUACGGGUGAAAGCAGGGGAUCUUCGGACCUUGCGCGAUUGAAUGAGCCGAUGUCGGAUUGGCUAGUUGGCGGGGUAAAGGCCCACCAAGGCGACGAUCCGUAGCUGGUCUGAGAGGAUGAUCAGCCACACUGGAACUGAGACACGGUCCAGGCUCCUACGGGAGGCAGCAGUGGGGAAUAUUGGACAAUGGGCGCAAGCCUGAUCCAGCCAUACCGCGUGGGUGAAGAAGGCCUUCGGGUUGUAAAGCCCUUUUGUUGGGAAAGAAAAGCAGCAGGUUAAUACCCCGCUGUUCUGACGGUACCCAAAGAAUAAGCACCGGCUAACUUCGUG
rnacentral:rRNA from 1 species